UACGUAGGCAGCAAGCGUUGUUCGGAAUUACUGGGCGUAAAGAGUGUGUAGGCGGUGUUCUAAGUUCGGUGUGAAAUCUCCUGGCUCAACUGGGAGGGUGCGCCGAAAACUGGGAUGCUCGAGCGUGGGAGAGGAAAGCGGAAUUCCUGGUGUAGCGGUGAAAUGCGUAGAUAUCAGGAGGAACACCAGCGGUGUAGACGGCUUCUGGACCAUGCUGACGCUGAGACACGAAAGCGUGGGUAGCAAACAGG
rnacentral:rRNA from 1 species